GCGGAUGUAGCCAAGUGGAUCAAGGCAGUGGGUUGUGAAUCCACCAUGCGCGGGUUCAAUUCCCGUCGUUCGCCCA
rnacentral:tRNA from 2 species